UGGGGAAUAUUGCACAAUGGAGGGAACUCUGAUGCAGCGACGCCGCGUGAGUGAUGAAGGAAUUCGUUUCGUAAAACUCUGUUCUAUGGGAAGAAAAGGACUGUACCAUAGGAGAAAGCUCCGGCUAAAUACGUGCCAGCAGCCGCGGUAAUACGUAUGGAGCGAGCGUUGUCCGGAAUUAUUGGGCGUAAAGGGUGUGCAGGCGGCUUUACAAGUUGGAUGUGAAAUAUUGUGGCUCAACCACAAACGUGCAUCCAAAACUGCAAAGCUUGAGUUAAGGAGAGGUAGGUGGAAUUCCUAGUGUAGCGGUGAAAUGCGUAGAUAUCAGGAGGAAUACCGGUGGCGAAAGCGACUUACUGGGCUUAAUCUGACACUCAGGCACGAAAGCGUGGGGAGCAAACAGG
rnacentral:rRNA from 1 species